CGCGAAAUUAGCACGCAAAUGUGUUUUUCAAGUGGCUUGAUCUGAUCGGUGUUUGUGUGUGAGGCUUUAAUGAGGCCGCGCGUGUGUGCGCGCACGUGUGCGCGGCUUUUCCCACAAAACACCCAGAGACCACGAGGAUUACCCAGAGCAGAGAGGACAGCAUCUGUUUGCGAGCUUGUGCCGAGCAAACAAGGCAAUUUAGAGAACGCCGAGGGAGCGUCUAAUAAACACAACCUUAUUCCCCUUUCUUCCCACACCUGGCUCUGAAUAAUGCAGCGAGGACGCCCGUCCGUUUCCGUGCGAGACCGUGCGGGCCGGCACCGGGUCGACCCGGGCGGGAGGAUUUACUGGUGCAUGUAUUUGUCAGCGAAUAUGUGGCGUGAGCUCAUUCUGUACCCCAUAUGUCUGCCCUGGAUACCUGGACGCAGCGUUUCACUGUACACAAACAAGGCUGAGAGGUGCCAUUUGUCUACCACAGAUGCUAGCCCGCUAGCUUAAGGGGCAGUUGUGACUUUGAUUGGACAUGUUUAACAAGCUCGGCGUUCGAUUCGGCACAGCCUUCCUGGAUGUUCCACUCAACUGUUAGAGCAGAGGUGUUAGCUAGACCUGCAGCUCUGCUCACCGCCGCCGCGCGCUCUGAUAUGAAGCCAAAGUGACACCCUGUGCAACCAUGCAUCAGACCAGACACAAAAUGGCUGUCCGUGCCACUACUCUGCCUAGGAUUUCACCACAUAUCACAGUGAAAAUUAUGUGCAGGUAUAAGAAAUUUCAUCUCUUCACGCGCUUUCUUUCAUCUUGCUUAUUUUGCUUGUUUUUGCUGACAGAGUCCAGUCAAUCAACGUGCUGGUCCAGUUUACUCUUCAACCAUCACCUUUGGAGUUACACACUGGCCUCACAUUUGCAGGGGACAGAGUGGAGAGGAGGAUGGACCACGACGACCUAGCCGGAGCGGUAAUUCCUGAAAACCAAUCUCACACCGCCAUUACGUCCUGUAAUGGUCAAGAUCCGCAGCCUCGGUGCAAAGAUAUAAAAAUAGAUGUAAAGCGGAGUGAAAUUCAAUUACACUAAAGAGGUUUUGCACAGUAAAAAUAUUUUAUCAUUUGACGAUUAACAGGAUGGUUUAAUGGCUGAAGGUCACACGCCCUCUUGUCUUGCACUAAGAUCAGGCCUCUGUAAAGUAACAGGGGGUGUGUGUUUAAUGACAACGUCC
rnacentral:lncRNA from 1 species